rnacentral:rRNA from 1 species
CCUCGGGAGGCAGAAGUGAGGAAGAGUGGUCAAAGGGCGCGAGCCCGAACCAGCCAAGUAGCGUGAAGGAGGACGGGCCUACGGGUUGUAAACUUCUUUUAGAAAGGAAGAAAGUGAGGCACGUGUGCCUUUUUGGAGGGACUUUAGGAAUAAGGAGCGGCGAACUCCGUGCCAGCAGCCGCGGUAAUACGGAGGAUACGAGCGUUAGCCGGAUUUAGUGGGUUUAAAGGGAGCGUAGAUGGGUUUUUAAGUCAGUUGUGAAAGUUGGCGGGUCAACCGUAAAAUUGCAAUUGAUACUGGCAGUCUUGCGUACAGUUGAGGUAGGCGGAUUUCGUGGUGUAGCCGU